rnacentral:rRNA from 1 species
CCUACGGGAGGCAGCAGUAGGGAAUCUUCCACAAUGGGCGAAAGCCUGAUGGAGCAACGCCGCGUGGGUGAAGAAGGUCUUCGGAGCGUAAAACCCUGUUGUUAGAGAAGAAAGGGCGUGAGAGUAACUGUUCACGUUUCGACGGUAUCUAACCAGAAAGCCAAGGCUAACUACGGGCCAGCCGCCGCGGUAAUACGUAGGUGGCAAGCGUUAUCCGGAUUUAUUGGGCGUAAAGGGAACGCAGGCGGUCUUUUAAGUCUGAUGUGAAAGUCUUCGGCUUAACCGGAGUAGUGCAUUGGAGACUGGGAGACUUGAGUGCAGAAGAGGAGGGUGGAACUCCAGGUGUAGCGGUGAAAUGCGUAGAUAUAUGGAAGAACACCAGUGGCGAAAGCGGCUCUCUGGUCUGUCACUGACGCUGAGGCUCGAAAGCGUGGGUAGCAAACAGGAUUAGAUACCCCAGUAGUC